rnacentral:lncRNA from 1 species
AUAUAUAGAGUCCCGUUCAGAAACGGGUCAAAACAAUAGACUAGGCAACGGACUGAAGGAAAAAAAAACACGCGGGUUGAAAAUUGGCUGGGUUGGGUUAAAUAGAUCAGUUGACUUAAACCAAAAAAACCCAUCCAAAUUCAUUUUAUACAACCUCUUUCUCUCUCUAAGUACUCUUCUCUCUCUCACUACGAACCAAAGCUCUGACAAUUUUGUACCGGCUCCGGCAAAAUCGACACUCUAGCGUCUCUCUCUACGAAGGUAAUGCUCCAUAACUCUAUUAAGUUUUAAUUUAAUUUUCUAGCAUAAGAAAUUUAGGGUUUAAAAGCUCAAAAUUGAAAAAGUAGUUUUCCUUUUCUAUCGGUAGUUGAUUACGCCAUUGAAUCUCAUUAAUUUUUCAAAAUUGGUUCAAUUUCUUCAUAUUUCAUCGGUUUUAUCACAAUAUGCGGUUUUUUUUUUCAAUUAGUAAGUAUUGUUAUGGCUAAUUUGUGAACCUUGUUUAUAGUUUUGAUUUGGUUGUUUGCAGAAAUUUUACGGAUUUAUCAUUUAUUUACAUAUCUGGUUCUGGUUGCUUAUAAAAUUUAAUAGAAAAUAAUAUAUGUUUUUUUGGGAAUUUAGUUAAGUUACUCCGGUUGUAGUAGCUUUCAUGAAAUGAAAGUUUUAUCUUUUUUGAAAAAUAAGAUUAUGUGUCUUGAUUUUUUUAGUUUUAUAACUCAGAGCAUCUAAGUGAAACUAAUUUGAACGAAUGUAGUAUUAAAAUGCCUAAUUAAGAUUAUAAAUCAUUGGGACUUCAAUAUGAGAAUUUGUCUUUGAAAUCUUAAGAGUUAAGGCUGUAGAUUAAACUUUUUUUCUUUUUGGUUUUAUUUUUAAAAGGUUUUAGCAUGAUUGCAAUGAUUGCUAAAGUGAAUAUGAGCUUCAUGUUUAUGUAUCCAGAUGAUGUAUAUUUUAGAAUAUAUGAAAUGCAAAUUGAUAAAAUAAUGAAAUAAAAGUGCCAGAAAGGAAAUAUAUAUUUGUUUGUGUAGCUGUUAGUUGGAAUUAAAGCAUGCCAGUUGUGAUCAAGUUAUGUAAAAGUUUGUACUUAAAAUUAUUAAAUUGUAUUUGUAAAUGUUUUAUAAUUUUUUUUAGCAUAAUAGAAGUCAUCUCUAAAUUAGAAUAGAUCUUCUAUCUUUAGAGAAUGAGGUGCCUCAAAAGGUGAUCUUCUUUUCGUAGACAGAAGCAUUGGGUGCGACCUAUAGUCAAACUAAUCCUCAUUAGAUUACUCUGGCUUGCAAGCAAUAUGUAUAUAUAGGCAUACUGCUGCAUAAAAAUGUUUGAUGAGUCUUGCAAAUAUUGAUGCAUAUUAUGUCUAAACUGCUUCCUGUAUAUUGCAAAUAUUCAGUUUUUGUGCAUAUAAAUGAUUGUUUAAUGUGUGCAUAUUGUACAGGUGAAAAAGAAAUGCAUCGUUAAUGAAGGUGGGGCAAAGAAAGCUUCUAAGGAAAGUGGGAGUGUGGGACAAAGAAAAAUGUCAAGGAAGGUAGGGCUACCUAGGAUAGGGCAAAAUAUUUUUUGUAUUGCCUUUUUGGUAGUUAACAUCUAGGUUGACUGGUGAUGUAGAGUUUUUGGUAUCAACUGACAAUAUAAAAUGAAAAGGGCAAAAUGAAUGUAUUUUUGGGAUGGCAAUACACAUUUGGGUUCCAUAAAGGACGUGAAUGUUAUUUAAUAUGUGUGAUCAAUUUGGCUGGCAAUGAGAUUCAUGAUUUCAGACAAUUAUUGUUGUGUUGUAUUGUAUUGUGUUUGUUAGUUUAAGUUUAAAUAUUUGAGAAUUUGUGUGCAGCAACAGCCAACACGGGCAAAAUGUUUUGUGUGAUGUGCAGGUAAAUAAAGCAAUCAUGGGAUGACACUCUGCUUUGCUUGAACCAAUAACUCUGGCUCCAAAAAGUGAAUGGAGAGCGACACAACAUCUACACAACCUGAAUACUUAGUUUUUUUACUAGCUGCUUUGCUUGUACUUGAAUACUUACAUAUAUGUUUGUAACAAAGCAAAAUUUAUGUGAAUGUAGAAUCUUCACUGCUCAUGUAUCCUAUUUGGAAAUAAAAU